GGCAGAUUAUUGCAAAAGGGCACGGGGCAGAGGGACUAUGUUGUGAGCCUGCGAAAGAAGUUUGUGUGGGGACUGUGGGCAGUGAACGCGUUGGGAACAAUAUGGAAAACUGGGAGCCGCCUUGGAAUCUACAGGGCCGGAGAGACCGAGGGGCUCACUAGGUUGACCAGGCUGGUCUUGAACUCCUGGCCUCAAGCCAUCCUCCCACCUCAGCCUCCCAAAGUGCUGGGAUUACAUGCAUGAGCCACCACAUCCAGCCUACCUAAAAUAUUGAAUGCUGUUAAUAAAUCUCCUGAGGCCAGCAUAAGAAGGUGAUGGGCAAAACUAAUGCAGUAGGAGCUGAAAUCGACCAGGGGGUUCUUAUCCAACAGACAGCAGCAAAACUCUUUGUGUAUCUGCGUUCCUUUCAACAAGUGUGACUUCCUCCAUGGCAUCAUUCGUGAGCGUAACACAGAGCUCAGCAAUAACGUUUCUUCACUAACCCUACCAGGAAAAGAAGGGAAAAUGGCUUACUGGUUUUAAAAAGAGACAAGGGACAACAUACCAUUUAUGCAAAAUUUAGAAGCACUCAAAGGAAACUCUGGAAAGCUCCUGAGACAUAUAUAGGGUUUCAGUUGUGCAAUUUCACCAUUAGCAAAGCUUUUUGCUGAAAUCUGGCUUUUCAAAGGGAGAGUAUCCAGAAACAGAAGAUGCUGCUCUGAGAGGCUCUUCCUAAUAGAACUGCUGCUUCAGUUUAGCUUGAAAAAGCCCACACCCAGUUCCUAAUGACAAACAUCUGAACACCGGGUCUUCCCACGAGCAAGACCAUGCUAUGCCUCCUGCUCGCUCUGUUCUAUAAGCAACCCACAGAUUGCUCCCUGUGAAGAGGAGCCUGCCAGGGGAGCAGCAUUCCACCAGACCCUGAUUUAGCAAGAUAUUUCCGUAUCAUUCCCCCAACCAGCUGGAAGUCCUCCACUGCUCUUGUGUAAAAAUCUAACUCAUCUCGCUGAAUUUCCUGAUUUAAAAGUCUAAUUCAUUUCACCAAAAGUGUGACAGAAGGAAACCAAGUACACCAUCUCUCUCUUACCAAA
rnacentral:lncRNA from 1 species